GUCAGCGACCAUACCACGUAGAAAACACCGGUUCUCGUCCGAUCACCGAAGUUA
rnacentral:rRNA from 1 species